GCACUUAGCUACAUGGACAAAAUAGACCCUUCCCUCUAUGAGCUCAGCCAGGGAGUUAGAUCAGGCCACGUCAAGGUGCUGGAAACUGUAGUGAACGGCAUUGAAAAGAUGGGAGAUGCAUUUUGCUCUAUGAUGAAAGGCGGCAACGUCGGCAAGCAAGUUGUAAAGAUAUCAGAGUGAAGAGAAUCACUGGAGCUGCUCUCACCAGACAGAGGCCUCGGGGAAUUAACCUACAGCUGCCUGCCUGUAUACGAGCUCCGUCACUGUUAUGUACACUAACUUAUUGAACUCUGGGGAAAAUAUUGCAUCAGUUAGCUGAUGCCUGUUGAUGAACCACAAGUGGAAAGUCACAUGAUGUUCUGUGAAACUGUGUCCUUUAGAAGAAUAAAAUGAAAUGUAAAAUGUGUUUGAAAGUCCAAUACGUCUUGAAUUUUAAUUCUUUUUGAUAUUUCUGGAAAUUGGUGCAGCAGUUUAAUAAACA